rnacentral:rRNA from 1 species
UACAGAGGUCUCAAGCGUUGUUCGGAUUUACUGGGCGUAAAGGGCGCGUAGGCGGCUUGUCAAGUCACUUGUGAAAUCUCUGGGCUUAACCCAGAACGGCCAAGUGAAACUGACAUGCUAGAGUGUGGAAGGGGCAAUCGGAAUUCUUGGUGUAGCGGUGAAAUGCGUAGAUAUCAAGAGGAACACCUGAGGUGAAGACGGGUUGCUGGGCCAACACUGACGCUGAGGCGCGAAAGCCAGGGGAGCAAACGGG